CGAUAAGUCAGAUGUGAAAUCCCCGGGCUCAACCUGGGAACUGCAUCUGAUACUGUUGAGCUAGAGUAUGUGAGAGGAAGGUAGAAUUCCAGGUGUAGCGGUGAAAUGCGUAGAGAUCUGGAGGAAUACCGAUGGCGAAGGCCAGCCUUCUGGCAUAAUACUGACACUGAGGCUCGAAAGCGUGGGUAGCAAACAGGAUUAGAUACCCUGGUAGUCCACGCCGUAAACGAUGUCUACUAGUCGUUGGGUCCCUUGAGGACUUAGUGACGCAGUAACGCAAUAAGUAGACCGCCUGGGGAGUAGUACGGCCGCAAGGUUAAAACCUCAAAUGAAUUGACGGGGGCCGCACAAGCGGUGGAGCAUGUGGUUUAAUUCGAUGCAACGCGAAGAACCUUACCUGGUCUUGACAUAUCUAGAAUCCUGCAGAGAUGCGGGAGUGCUUCGGGAAUUAGAAUACAGGUGCUGCAUGGAUGUCGUCAGCUACGUGUCGUGAGA
rnacentral:rRNA from 1 species